GGUGAGGUAACGGCUCACCAAGGCAACGAUGCGUAGCCGACCUGAGAGGGUGAUCGGCCACACUGGGACUGAGACACGGCCCAGACUCCUACGGGAGGCAGCAGUAGGGAAUCUUCCGCAAUGGACGAAAGUCUGACGGAGCAACGCCGCGUGAGUGAUGAAGGUUUUCGGAUCGUAAAGCUCUGUUGUUAGGGAAGAACAAGUACCGUUCGAAUAGGGCGGUACCUUGACGGUACCUAACCAGAAAGCCACGGCUAACUACGUGCCAGCAGCCGCGGUAAUACGUAGGUGGCAAGCGUUGUCCGGAAUUAUUGGGCGUAAAGGGCUCGCAGGCGGUUUCUUAAGUCUGAUGUGAAAGCCCCCGGCUCAACCGGGGAGGGUCAUUGGAAACUGGGGAACUUGAGUGCAGAAGAGGAGAGUGGAAUUCCACGUGUAGCGGUGAAAUGCGUAGAGAUGUGGAGGAACACCAGUGGCGAAGGCGACUCUCUGGUCUGUAACUGACGCUGAGGAGCGAAAGCGUGGGGAGCGAACAGGAUUAGAUACCCUGGUAGUCCACGCCGUAAACGAUGAGUGCUAAGUGUUAGGGGGUUUCCGCCCCUUAGUGCUGCAGCUAACGCAUUAAGCACUCCGCCUGGGGAGUACGG
rnacentral:rRNA from 1 species